CCUCAGCCCACCCCACUCCAUCCCUCACUUCUUUUAAAGACCUCCAGUCUGGAAAGCUCAACCUGGGGGCUUGACAACCGACUGCUUCAUUUCCACGGUCUUGAGGGUGACCCAGACGAAUUCCUAGGCUUGAAGAGGCUUUGGGGGCGGGGGGCUUGUGGAGAAGAUGGCUUUAAGAUUAUUGGAUACGCUGAAAGAGGCAUCACCCCACUUCAAAUCCCUCCUUCCUUUACCCCCCCCAACCCUGCCACCAGGAUGUUUGCCAUUUGUGUGGAUCUCUUAAUAUUCUCUUGAGCCUAGUGAGGCAGAAAGAGGGGAGAAUGGGAAUGGCUGGAUCAUACUGGGGUGACUGGGAAGAUUUCCCCUUUGUCUGUAGAUCAAAAGAUGGGCAUGGAGUAGCCUGGAUCCUGCAACAUCGCUUCUUGUUCUGUACCUGAAAGAAACCCCAGCGUGGUUGAUUGGUUUCUCCCCAUUCAUUUUUUAUCAGGAUUUUUUUUUGUUAAGGUUGGGGUGGAUAUUUGGGGGGGAGGGGAGCUGGGCUCUUUGCAAGAUUUGUUACCUGGGUGGGUAAAGCCCCGCGNGGGGGGGGGGAGAGGCGGAAAAAAAUCCUGAAUGGAUAGACUGCAGCUACGUCACCCCAAGCUCCAACCAUCCAUCCACAAGUGGGUAGGAUGCAUGAGGGACAGACUCAUUCUACGCACAUCUGGUGGGCUGCAGACUUUGGCACGGAACCUCCGUGGCAAGCAGUGAACAGAUGCUGCUGGCGAAGGUAACAGGGCCUAGCCUGGGUGAUAUUUGAUGUUCUGCGUGUGCCACCUUCUCUCUGGAUGGUGAAUCAUUGGUCUUUAGGUCCUGUGAAAGUUCUCUUGGAAUCCCCGGGUGAAGGAUGCAAGCUGGAAAGAAAGAAAGAGAAUUUGAUCAUCAAAGAAAUAAAGAGCAGCAAACUCCUAAAAAUCUGGAAAUCUGCGCUAAUUGCUUCUGAAUGUCUGUCUGAAAAAUUAUCAAAUUGAUGCCGUCGUGCUUUUUUUGACAGCCUGUCUGUUACAGUUUUUUUUUUAAAUAUUCAUGCAUGGAAAUCUAAUUACUAGGCAAAUUUAAUGAUAAUGAGAUGAAGGCACCUUGUUCAUAUUUUCUCAGCCUCUGUCUUGUUCAGAAUGUUUUGGUUUUUUUACGACUGCCUUUCUUGUACUUAAAAAAAAAAAUGCCAAAAAUAAAAUGUGGAUUGCUGAAAAUGUUUGCA
rnacentral:lncRNA from 1 species